rnacentral:rRNA from 1 species
GACGAACGCUGGCGGCAUGCCUAACACACGCAAGUCGAGCGAGUAGAUCCCUUCGGGGUGAAGCUAGCGGCGGACGGGUGAGUAACACGUGGGCAACCUGCCUCAUAGAGGGGGAUAGCCUUCCGAAAGGAAGAUUAAUACCGCAUAAGAUUGUAGCUUCGCAUGAAGCAGCAAUUAAAGGAGUAAUCCGCUAUGAGAUGGGCCCGCGGCGCAUUAGCUAGUUGGUGAGGUAACGGCUCACCAAGGCGACGAUGCGUAGCCGACCUGAGAGGGUGAUCGGCCACAUUGGGACUGAGACACGGCCCAGACUCCUACGGGAGGCAGCAGUGGGGAAUAUUGCACAAUGGGGGAAACCCUGAUGCAGCAAUGCCGCGUGAGUGAUGACGGCCUUCGGGUUGUAAAGCUCUGUCUUCGGGGACGAUAAUGACGGUACCCGAGGAGGAAGCCACGGCUAACUACGUGCCAGCCGCCGCCGUAA